CAGCAGCCACGGGAAUACGUAGGUGGCAAGCGUUGUCCGGAAUUAUUGGGCGUAAAGGGCUCGCAGGCGGUUUCUUAAGUCUGAUGUGAAAGCCCCCGGCUCAACCGGGGAGGGUCAUUGGAAACUGGGAAACUUGAGUGCAGAAGAGGAGAGUGGAAUUCCACGUGUAGCGGUGAAAUGCGUAGAGAUGUGGAGGAACACCAGUGGCGAAGGCGACUCUCUGGUCUAUAACUGACGCUGAGGAGCGAAAGCGUGGGGAGCGAACAGGAUUAGAUACCCGUGUAGUCCCUGUCUCUUAUAU
rnacentral:rRNA from 1 species